UAUUGUCGUGCUAUAGCCCAAAGAGAAAAGUAGUCGGCCGACCUAGCUGAACACUGGAGCUCGACGCCGAUGACGUUCCCCGUCGGCUUUUGUUCCCCUCCCAGGCUCCCCGAGUCCGUCUCCCUCCUCACGAACUCUUCCCAAUCUCUCCAAAAUCCUCCUCGGACGAAGCAAUGACGCCCUUCGGCUCUCUCUUAGAACCCUAGGCCGCGCUCCCUUUCAUCUGCCUCCCCGAGUUCGAUUGUCGUCUGCUGAUGGUGCGGAGGAGGAUUCGGAUCAGAAGGCGGUGGAAGGGAGGGCUUUGAUGAGGAGGUUACGGAUUUGGGGUUAGAGCGGCAUUGUCCAUGUUGAAAUUUUGCAAAAGUAAGAUUUGUAAAGAUUGUUGAGGGCAGAAACCUUUCUCAAGUACCUCAUGUAUGAACCAAACACAGAAGAUCAUUCCAGUCUCCAGAACAAUAUUAUAUCUGCAGAGAAAAGUCAGAAGAUCAGAACUAAUUGGAUCACUAUGUUGAUAUUUCUUUAUGAAGCGAGCGAUAUUGUGAUGACAGAUGAGGCAGUUAUAAUACUAGAGAUUUAUGGAGAGUGUCAAUGCACAUUGUCUCUUUGCCAAUAGACUAUCAGUACCACCGAAAAGAUUCCUAGCAUUUUUCUUCCUUCUGUUAUAAUUUAUUAUUCUGGGCAUGGAGUGGCUUGAUGAAGACAUGGCAGAUACGGUCUUUUAUACUACUGAACUGUCAUGAAAGUGUAUGUCUCCAGCAUGUAGUAAUCCCAAAUUGAAAGCUCCUUACAGGUUUUCCUUUUGGAUCUUAACAUUGCUGGAAAAGCUCUUUAAAUUAUAGAAUAUAUGGUUUAGAUAAUGGCACAGACUCAAGCCACCACCUGAGUGGGACAAGCAAACUACUUUCACGAAAUAUUGACAUGAUGGUGGACGAUAUUUUUCACUGGUGGUCUUGCCAAUGCUAAUGUGUCAAGAUGUUAUAUUGCUUAUGAAGGCCUUAUCCUUUUGAUUAUUGGGUCUUGCCAAUGCUAAUGUGUCAGUAUGUUAUAUUGCUUAUGAAGGCCUUAUCCUUUUGAUUAUUGGGGAGCAAUGGUUGAUUGUUUAACAUUAAAAAAAGACCCCCUGCCAUGCUAUUCAAUGUUUAUUUGGUAACUUA